rnacentral:sRNA from 1 species
UGACUAUAAGGAUAGGCACUCCACACCAU